rnacentral:ncRNA from 1 species
GGGAGUCCAUGUAUUUAGACAGCAGGUCGGUGCCCCUAAAAGCAGGUAUCCGCUAAAGAGUGUGUUAAAACUCACCUGCCGAAUACUAGGGCCCCGAAAAUGAAUGGCGCAUAUAGUACUACCGAUCUCAGACAUCAGUUCUAUUGAACUGAGAGUAGGGGGAUGUGGACAUUUUUGUGAAGGUGCAAUGUGAGUUGGACUGGAAGAAUGUCUAUUACAGAUCCUAAUUGAAGUAGCGAUUAUCCAGGCUUGUAUCCUGGGGGCUGAUGAGGAGUAGGGUUUCUGGACAACUUAAACAGAUCCAGAGUUAGUCGAUCCUAAUCUCAAUAAUGGGAGAAAGGGAGUACAGUUGAUAUUCUGUAACUGACAACAGUUCGCGGCAACGCAUACUAUUUUUCUCCGCCAAUCUUAUACCGUUGGUAGGGAUCUCUUUCCUACAUGACAGUACUAAUACCCAGGGAAACUGGUCAUCAGGCGAACUGCGGCGUUCUGCUGGCAAAACAUAGCUUCGGUUAUGUCAAUGGCUAUUGGAUUGGUCCAUGAAGCGAAAAAUAGUUUACUGUGUCACUCGUACCGAUAACCGCAUCAGGUCUUCUAGGUAAGUAGCCUAUGGCCAUUGAGGCAUGAUAGUUCAGGGAAUUCGGCCAAUUAGAGCUGUAACUUCGGGAUAAAGCUUGGCUCUGAUGAAAAUCAGAACCGAUUGUUACGCGGAGAGCCCAACUGUUUAAUAAAAACGUAGUGUCGCGCUGUGGUAGUAUAGCCAGUGAACGCGACAUGAAUCCUGCUCAGUGCUGUGUCUGUUAAUAUGGUUCAAGCCAACGAAGCACCGGUAAAUAGCUGGGGUAACUAUGACUCUUAUCAAAGUAGCGAAAUACCUCGUCACUUAAUUAGUGACCUGCAUGAACGGAGCUAUGAGGUUCUCACUGUCCCAAACUGUCUCUCAGCGAACCAACUGUAGUGGGAACGGUCACUAGAUAUCCAGCGGGGAAAGAAGACCCUGUAGAGCUUCACUUUGGUCUAGUCUUGUAUAGUCCUGCGGGGGUGUAGACUAGUGGGAGAGCAAUCGAUUCUGAAAAACCACUACCCUGUUUGGAAUUAUGCUUACCUAU